rnacentral:lncRNA from 1 species
GAUGCAGAGAACAACUCCAUGCCUCCAAAUGGAACUACAAAGACAAAGUAUUCCAGAAAGAUCAGAGCAAAGUGGAGCAGAAGAGACCAAAACUGAAGAGAAGCAUUCUGUUCUUUACAGUGGACUGGCAACCUGGCAAGCCACGCACAUGCUCAGAGGCAAGUGUAUUUCUCAUCCCCCAUACCAUGUGCAUCAGAAGCAAUG